GAUGAAGAACGUAGCGAAAUGCGAUAAGUAAUGCGAAUUGCAGAAUCCGUGAGUCAUCGAAUCUUUGAACGCACAUUGCGCCCCUUGGUAUUCCAUGGGGCAUGCCUGUUCGAGCGUCAUUUGUACCUUCAAGCUUUGCUUGGUGUUGGGUGUUUGUCUCGCCUUUGCGUGUAGACUCGCCUUAAAAUAAUUGGCAGCCGGCGUAUUGAUUUCGGAGCGCAGUACAUCUCGCGCUUUGCACUCAUAACGACAGCGUCCAAAAGUACAUUUUACACUCUUGACCUCGGAUCAGGUAGGGAUACCCGCUGAACUUAAGCAUAUCAAUAAGCGGAGGA
rnacentral:misc_RNA from 1 species